UUCCUUCCAACCAACUGCAGAAAAUUUGUUAAUACAAAUUCAAACCAAAUCAAAAUGAAAUUGUUAAUUUCCUUAACAUUUCUCCUAGUGAUUCUUACGUCGGGUAUAAUUGCCCAACGUGGUCGUUUUUGUCUCCAAAGGGCUCGUCCUGCCAGAUGUGAUGGUCCACCGGAUAUUGGUUUUGUUUGUCCCGCAGUUCCUCCACGUACAAUGUGGCAUUUUAAUCAGGCAACUCGUACUUGUGUUGAAAUGAUUCAUUUGGGUUGUGGCGGUAAUGCGAAUCGUUGGUGUUCGCGGAUCAUGUGUGAGCUCAAAUGUGUGCGACUUAUUGGUUAGAAAAAUACUAAUAUUUUGUUAAAGAAAAUCAAAUAAAAUUAUGACCAGCAAUAUUUUACCAAAUUAAAUAA